AGAGUUUGAUCAUGGCUCAGGAUGAACGCUGGCGGCGUGCCUAAUACAUGCAAGUCGAACGAGUUCUCGUUGAUGAUCGGUGCUUGCACCGAGAUUCAACAUGGAACGAGUGGCGGACGGGUGAGUAACACGUGGGUAACCUGCCCUUAAGUGGGGGAUAACAUUUGGAAACAGAUGCUAAUACCGCAUAGAUCCAAGAACCGCAUGGUUCUUGGCUGAAAGAUGGCGUAAGCUAUCGCUUUUGGAUGGACCCGCGGCGUAUUAGCUAGUUGGUGAGGUAAUGGCUCACCAAGGCGAUGAUACGUAGCCGAACUGAGAGGUUGAUCGGCCACAUUGGGACUGAGACACGGCCCAAACUCCUACGGGAGGCAGCAGUAGGGAAUCUUCCACAAUGGACGCAAGUCUGAUGGAGCAACGCCGCGUGAGUGAAGAAGGCUUUCGGGUCGUAAAACUCUGUUGUUGGAGAAGAAUGGUCGGCAGAGUAACUGUUGUCGGCGUGACGGUAUCCAACCAGAAAGCCACGGCUAGCUACGUGCCAGCAGCCGCGGUAAUACGUAGGUGGCAAGCGUUAUCCGGAUUUAUUGGGCGUAAAGCGAGCGCAGGCGGUUUUUUAAGUCUGAUGUGAAAGCCCUCGGCUUAACCGAGGAAGCGCAUCGGAAACUGGGAAACUUGAGUGCAGAAGAGGACAGUGGAACUCCAUGUGUAGCGGUGAAAUGCGUAGAUAUAUGGAAGAACACCAGUGGCGAAGGCGGCUGUCUGGUCUGUAACUGACGCUGAGGCUCGAAAGCAUGGGUAGCGAACAGGAUUAGAUACCCUGGUAGUCCAUGCCGUAAACGAUGAAUGCUAGGUGUUGGAGGGUUUCCGCCCUUCAGUGCCGCAGCUAACGCAUUAAGCAUUCCGCCUGGGGAGUACGACCGCAAGGUUGAAACUCAAAGGAAUUGACGGGGGCCCGCACAAG
rnacentral:rRNA from 2 species